AACGAACGCUGGCGGCAUGCCUAAUACAUGCAAGUCGAACGAGAUCUUCGGAUCUAGUGGCGCACGGGUGCGUAACGCGUGGGAAUCUGCCCUUGGGUUCGGAAUAACUUCUGGAAACGGAAGCUAAUACCGGAUGAUGACGUAAGUCCAAAGAUUUAUCGCCCAAGGAUGAGCCCGCGUAGGAUUAGGUAGUUGGUGAGGUAAAGGCUCACCAAGCCGACGAUCCUUAGCUGGUCUGAGAGGAUGAUCAGCCACACUGGGACUGAGACACGGCCCAGACUCCUACGGGAGGCAGCAGUAGGGAAUAUUGGACAAUGGGCGAAAGCCUGAUCAAGCAAUGCCGCGUGAGUGAUGAAGGCCUUAGGGUUGUAAAGCUCUUUUACCCGGGAUGAUAAUGACAGUACCGGGAGAAUAAGCUCCGGCUAACUACGUG
rnacentral:rRNA from 1 species